rnacentral:rRNA from 1 species
GACGCUUAACUGGUCUGAGAGGAUGAUCAGUCACACUGGAACUGAGACACGGUCCAGACUCCUACGGGAGGCAGCAGUAGGGAAUAUUGCGCAAUGGGGGAAACCCUGACGCAGCAACGCCGCGUGGAGGAUGACACUUUUCGGAGCGUAAACUCCUUUUCUUAGGGAAGAAUUCUGACGGUACCUAAGGAAUAAGCACCGGCUAACUCCGUGCCAGCAGCCGCGGUAAUACGGAGGGUGCAAGCGUUACUCGGAAUCACUGGGCGUAAAGGGCGCGUAGGCGGAUUAUCAAGUCUCUUGUGAAAUCUAAUGGCUUAACCAUUAAACUGCUUGGGAAACUGAUAGUCUAGAGUGAGGGAGAGGCAGAUGGAAUUGGUGGUGUAGGGGUAAAAUCCGUAGAUAUCACCAAGAAUACCCAUUGCGAAGGCGAUCUGCUGGAACUCAACUGACGCUAAGGCGCGAAAGCGUGGGGAGCAAACAGGAUUAGAUACCCUGGUAGUCCACGCCCUAAACGAUGUACACUAGUUGUUGGGGUGCUAGUCAUCUCAGUAAUGCAGCUAACGCAUUAAGUGUACCGCCUGGGGAGUACGGUCGCAAGAUUAAAACUCAAAGGAAUAGACGGGGACCCGCACAAGCGGUGGAGCAUGUGGUUUAAUUCGAAGAUACGCGAAGAACCUUACCUGGGCUUGAUAUCCUAAGAACCUUUUAGAGAUAAGAGGGUGCUAGCUUGCUAGAACUUAGAGACAGGUGCUGCACGGCUGUCGUCAGCUCGUGUCGUGAGAUGUUGGGUUAAGUCCCGCAACGAGCGCAACCCACGUAUUUAGUUGCUAACGGUUCGGCCGAGCACUCUAAAUAGACUGCCUUCGUAAGGAGGAGGAAGGUGUGGACGACGUCAAGUCAUCAUGGCCCUUAUGCCCAGGGCGACACACGUGCUACAAUGGCAUAUACAAUGAGACGCAAUACCGCGAGGUGGAGCAAAUCUAUAAAAUAUGUCCCAGUUCGGAUUGUUCUCUGCAACUCGAGAGCAUGAAGCCGGAAUCGCUAGUAAUCGUAGAUCAGCCAUGCUACGGUGAAUACGUUCCCGGGUCUUGUACUCACCGCCCGUCACACCAUGGGAGUUGAUUUCACUCGAAGCCGGAAUACUAAACUAGUUACCGUCCACAGUGGAAUCAGCGACUGGGGUGAAGUCGUAACAAGGUAACCGUAGGAGAACCUGCGGUUGGAUCACCUCCUUUCUA